UGUUUAGAUUUCUGAGUGUUUACGUAAUAUUUUAUAAUGAAGCGUAGGCCUAGGUUUAUGGAGGUUGUACGUUAGUAAUAACAUCUGCAAGAUAAUGAUAGGAUUUAGUGACUAAGUGCUGUAAGGUAUAAUGUUGACAUAGUAUAGACUAAAUCAACCUGUGUAAAAUGUGCUUCCACAAGUUCCAGAGGCCUAACAUUUUAAGUUAAGAGAGAUUAAAGUCACGUAACUCUUGACGAAAAGCUACUUGUUAUCGGUCCGAAUUUUAGGAAUGUAAUUUCCACACUGGUAUGAAAUAGCAAGCCAGAGCAAAGAAAGAAACAAACCGAAUAUACUAUAUGAAUUGUUUCAUACCACUGAGUUAUUAGAAGGACUGAACUAACUGUUGCUUACUGCUAACUUAGCAGAAUGAUGGGACUGCUUAGGGAACCGAUACACAGUUGUGAGUCAGCAGAAGGAUGUGACUGGACAAGAAUCUGGUACACGUCACUACGGCAACAGAGAAAUCAAAUUGAUAGAUCUGUUGUACACAGCCGCUCCACUUGUAGAACUCGGUUGGCUGAAGGAGCUGAUAUCACCAAGUAAGCAGAAGAAUCGGAUUGAUUGAAGAGGUGGCGUGCUCGUGCUGACUCGUGGCCUCGAGCUCUGGGAAACUCAGACCCGCCCGCUCUAAACACAGAAGUUGACAUACCGAGUGGGCGUACCAAAACCCUCACAGUCUUGCUUUUCAAGUUACCCCUAGAGUUGGUUUGAACAGCUGUAGACAUUUCAUUUUGAAAGAGAGAAGUUUCCGGAGCCGGUGAGACUUAUGUGACGUGGAACCGUUUCGACAAGUUAUAUAAAAGUAUGCGAAUUCAAGCAUCGUUUUAAUACGUUAAGAAAACAAACCGGAAAAGCUGUUGUCACACAGUGUAUUUCAUCACGUCAUACCAUGUUUAAUAAUUGUUUAAAUAUUUGUUUAAUGUAACUUCCUAGAAGAAUGGCGGGGAUUUAAUAACUGUUUGAAACGCAAUCCUUUUAUUAAUUUAAACGUUAUUGACGCUAAACUUGAUUUUUUAAACUACGUGAUCAUGUAAGAGUAGGUGCGAUCCUUCGACUUGUUAAUGUUAAGCUUUAGUACAGGCUUGUUUCUGUUUUUUUUAAGCCAGCUAAUCAUGUAUCAUGGAAUUUUAAGCCAGUAAUACAUCCUUCUUUAGUCCUAAUAAAACAGUGCUGACACACACACACACACACACAACAAUAACCGCAAAGCAUGAUUAUUCCAAAAACCAGCAGAAAUAGUCAUCAUAUGGUGAAUAUAUUACCUCACCAGGAACAACCGGAUGUAACAUGAAAGAAAAGAAACGGAAACCUAGGCUCGAGGGUCUUUGUCUGAAAAAUAAACGUGUUUGUUAAAAGGAAAGCUAACAAGUAAACGUUAUUGUUUCGGGAGCUCAUUGUUUUGUAUAUUU